UGGAGAGUUUGAUCCUGGCUCAGGACGAACGCUGGCGGCGUGCUUAACACAUGCAAGUCGAACGGUAAGGCCCUUUCGGGGGUACACGAGUGGCGAACGGGUGAGUAACACGUGGGUGACCUGCCCUGUACUUUGGGAUAAGCCUGGGAAACUGGGUCUAAUACCGGAUAUGACCUUCUCCUGCAUGGGGGUUGGUGGAAAGCUUUUGCGGUACAGGAUGGGCCCGCGGCCUAUCAGCUUGUUGGUGGGGUAAUGGCCUACCAAGGCGACGACGGGUAGCCGGCCUGAGAGGGCGACCGGCCACACUGGGACUGAGACACGGCCCAGACUCCUACGGGAGGCAGCAGUGGGGAAUAUUGCACAAUGGGCGCAAGCCUGAUGCAGCGACGCCGCGUGAGGGAUGACGGCCUUCGGGUUGUAAACCUCUUUCAGUAGGGACGAAGCGCAAGUGACGGUACCUACAGAAGAAGCACGGCCAACUACGUGCCAGCAGCCGCGGUA
rnacentral:rRNA from 1 species